GACGAACGCUGGCGGCGUGCUUAACACAUGCAAGUCGAACGGAAAGGCCCUGCUUUUGUGGGGUGCUCGAGUGGCGAACGGGUGAGUAACACGUGAGUAACCUGCCCUUGACUUUGGGAUAACUUCAGGAAACUGGGGCUAAUACCGGAUAGGAGCUCCUGCUGCAUGGUGGGGGUUGGAAAGUUUCGGUGGUUGGGGAUGGACUCGCGGCUUAUCAGCUUGUUGGUGGGGUAGUGGCUUACCAAGGCUUUGACGGGUAGCCGGCCUGGGAGGGUGACCGGCCACAUUGGGCCUGAGAUACGGCCCAGACUCCUACGGGAGGCAGCAGUGGGGAAUAUUGCACAAUGGGCGGAAGCCUGAUGCAGCAACGCCGCGUGCGGGAUGACGGCCUUCGGGUUGUAAACCGCUUUCGCCUGUGACGAAGCGUGAGUGACGGUAAUGGGUAAAGAAGCACCGGCUAACUACGUG
rnacentral:rRNA from 1 species